rnacentral:rRNA from 1 species
UGGGGAAUCUUCCGCAAUGGGCGAAAGCCUGACGGAGCAACGCCGCGUGAGUGAAGACGGCCUUCGGGUUGUAAAACUCCGUGAUUCGGGACGAAAGAUAAGCAGACGAAUAAUCUGCAUAAGUGACGGUACCGAAAAAGCAAGCCACGGCUAACUACGUGCCAGCAGCCGCGGUAAUACGUAGGUGGCAAGCGUUGUCCGGAAUUAUUGGGCGUAAAGCGCGCGCAGGCGGCUACUUAAGUCCAUCUUAAAAGUGCGGGGCUUAACCCCGUGAUGGGAUGGAGACUGAGAAGCUGGAGUGUCGGAGAGGAAAGUGGAAUUCCUAGUGUAGCGGUGAAAUGCGUAGAGAUUAGGAAGAACACCGGUGGCGAAGGCGACUUUCUGGACGACAACUGACGCUUAGGCGCGAAAGCGUGGGGAGCAAACAGG